rnacentral:rRNA from 1 species
AACGAACGUUGGCGGCGUGGAUUAGGCAUGCAAGUCGAACGAGAAAGCCACCUUCGGGUGGUUAGUAAAGUGGCGAACGGGUGAGUAACGCGUGGGAAAUCUGCCCUACAGUUGGGGAUAACACUCCUAACGGAGUGCUAAUACCGAAUGAGACCACGAGAUCGCAUGGUCUUGAGGUUGAAGGUGGCCUCUCCUUGGAAGCUACCGCUGCAGGAGGAUCCCGCGUCCCAUUAGCUUGUUGGCAGGGUAACGGCCUACCAAGGCUUCGAUGGGUAGCUGGUCUGAGAGGAUGGUCAGCCACACUGGGACUGAGAUACGGCCCAGACUCCUACGGGAGGCAGCAGUCGAGAGGCUUCGGCAAUGGGGGAAACCCUGACCGAGCGACGCCGCGUGGGCGAUGAAGGUUGUAAGAUCGUAAAGCCCUGUCAGGAGGGAAGAACUGCCAAUGGGCAAACAGGCCAUUGGUUUGACGGUACCUCCAGAGGAAGCCACGGCUAACUUCGUGCCAG